UCUCUAUUCACUAGAGGUUUUCUUGACUAUGUUCUCACUUCAUUUAAAGUCUAUUCAUUAAAACAAAGCAAAAAUUAAUGAAUAUCUAUGAAAUAAAAAUAUUUUUGCAUCUCUCUUACAAAGGUAUGCGUUUGGCAGGAUAGAACACCAUCUUUUAUGUUUACAAUAUGAUCAUUUAACAUGUAUUACAAACAUUUAAAAUAAAAAUCCUACAGAUUUUCUUUUGUUUUUUUUUUCUACUACUAUUUCAUGAGAUCUACUAUCAUUUUAUAGCAUUACUAAGAGUUUUAAGUCUUUAAAUAAAAAUGAUUGCCACACUGUUGUCUUUAAAUUUUUUAAUCCAUUUUUAUAACCAAGUAGUUAAUAAUUUGUGUUGAUCAUUGAUUCUUUUUUUCUAAAGAGAAAUGUAGAAUUUUAUCCUCUGAAUACAGAUAAGAUGGAUACAAGUAUUUAAUAGGACUUCUAAAAUGAGGAAUUUUUGGUUGAGACAGAAAAUAUGGAAUCCAAUGACCUAAUAAAUCUCUCAUAUUUUUGGAAUUUAUAGACUUGUACUUGUUCCACUUUUAAAAUGC
rnacentral:lncRNA from 1 species